GAUANGCUGGCGGCGUGCCUAAUCAUGCAAGUCGAACGGGGAGUACAUACUUCGGUUUAUACUCCUAGUGGCGAACGGGUGAGUAACGCGUUGGUGACCUGCCCCGAAGAGGGGGACAACAGCUCGAAAGGGCUGCUAAUACCCCAUGUGGUCGUACAGGUUAGAGGCUGAACGACUAAAGGAGUAAUCCACUUCGGGAGGGGCCUGCGUCCCAUCAGCUAGUUGGUAAGGUAACGGCCUACCAAGGCGAAGACGGGUAGGGGGCCUGAGAGGGUGGCCCCCCACACUGGCACUGAAACACGGGCCAGACACCUACGGGUGGCAGCAGUAGGGAAUAUUGCACAAUGGGCGAAAGCCUGAUGCAGCAACGCCGCGUGCGCGAAGAAGGCCUUCGGGUUGUAAAGCGCUUUUCUGGAGGAAGAGAAAGGACGGUACUCCAGGAAUAAGGAUCGGCUAACUACGUGCCAGCAGCCGCGGUAAUACG
rnacentral:rRNA from 1 species